AUGGAGAGUUUAAGGCAGGCGUCCCCAAACUACGGCCCCGCGGGCCACAUGCGGCCCCCUGAGGCCAUUUAUCCGGCCCCCUGCCGCACUUCAGGAAGGGGCACCUCUUUCAUUGGUGCUAGGAAGUCCACGUAGUCCUUCAAGGGCCUGGGCGGCGGCUCUGUGCGUUUUGGGCCGGGGGUCGCCUUUCGCGCCCAGUAUGCACAGGGGCUCCGCAGCUGCGGCGUGUCGGUGUCCUCCUCCCGCUUCGUGUCCUCGCCCUCCUCGGGGGGCUACGACGGCGUCCUGGCCGCGGCUGAAGGGCUGCUGGCGGGCAACGAGAAGCUCGUCGCAGAACCUCAACGACCGCCUGGCCUCCUACCUGGACAAGGUGCGCGCCCUGGAGGCGGCCAAAGGCGAGUUGGCGGUGAAGAUCCGCGACUGGUACCAGAAGCAGGAGACUGGGUCCUCCCACGACUACAGCCGCUACUACAAGACCAUCCAGGACCUGCGGGACAAGAUUCUUGGUGCCACCAUUGAGAACUCCAGGAUUGUCCUGCAGAUCCACAAUGCCCGUCUGGCCGCAGAUGACUUCCGAACCAAGUUUGAGACCGAGCAGGCUUUGCGCAUGAGCGUGGAGGCCAGCAUCAAAGCCCUGCGCAGGGGGCUGGAGGAGCUGAUCCUGGCCAGGAGCGACCUGGAGAUGCAGAUUGAAACGCUGAAAGAAGAGCUGGCCUACCUGAAGAAGAACCACGAGGAGGAAAUCAGCGUGCUGAGGGGCCAAGUGGGAGGCCAGGUCAGUGUGGAGGUGGAUUCGGCUCCGGGUGCCGAUCUCGUCAAGAUCCUGAGUGACAUGCAAAGCCAAUGUGAGGUCCUGGCGGAGCAGAACCGGAAGGAUGCUGAAGCCUGUUUCACCAGCCGGACUGAAGAACCGAACCGGGAGGUCGCUGGCCACACGGAGCAGCUCCAGAUGAGCAAGACCGAGGUCACUGACCUUGGCGCACCCUCCAGCGUCUUGAGAUCGAGCUGCAGUCACUGCUGAGCAUGAAAGCCCGCUUGGAAGGCACACUGGCAGAAACGGAGGCGCACUUUGGAGUUCAGCUGGCGGAGAUCAGCGAUAUUGAAGCCCUGCUGGGCGAUAUGCUUGCGCGCUGAUAGUGAGCGGCAGAAUCAGGAGUACCAACGGCUACUGGUCGUCAAGUUGCGGCUGGAGCAGGAGAUCGCCACCUACCGCAGCCUGCUCGAGGGUAAGGAAGAUCGCUACAACAACCUGUCCGCCUCCAAGGUCCUCCGAGGAGGCCGCAGGCCCGGGGCUUCUGCUGUCCUUCAGAGGGUGUCUCCUGGGUGGGCAGAUGGGAAGGAAGGGACACUUAGCCUGCGCUACCCCUGA